CGACAUUUAUUCAUUCUUUUAGGAAUAUUGAAACAACAUUAUUAAUUGUGGUAAACCUUAUCUGGCAGUACUUAAGAGUGCAUCUUUGACUUUAUUACUCGAGUGAAUGCACCUUCAAACCGGUUUAACACCAACAUGUCACAGUAAUCAAUACCAUCUGUGUUAAGAUGUCGGGAAUGUGUUAGACGAAUGAUUUUGUUUUAUGGAGCUUUGAAGAGCGAUGAAUGGCACUAAAGUGGUGCCAAAUGGAUAUCUCAAACACCCAUUGUUGAUGUGUGAUGCUGAUAAUACAGAGACAGCUAGAGUGACAGAGUUUGAUGAAUAAACUUAAAUUAAAAAACAGAAAUAACCACCAUCUCUCUCAGAGGUCAUCUUUCUCAUUAUUGUGGGAAACCUCAAAGGGCAUCAGGAAAACCUUCAUCAACCUCUUUGUGCCCAGUGGCUUGUGCAACAGUGUUUCAGAAAUUAUCAUUAAAAUGGGGAUAAUGGAUGACUGGCCACACAUAUGGGGCUAUGGACAAGCUUCAGAGCAGGCUGCCAGGUGGUGGUGUUAGUAGUUUAUACUCCGGGUCCAGGCGUGAGCACAUUGAAGGGUCCCAGAGUGACAGUUCAACCACCCACACCUAUCCUGGGCAGAACCAGUACUAGGUGCCUUCACCUCUGCAAGGAACUGACAGUUUCUGUACAUGCCAGGUGCAGUGGUACAGUGCGAAUGGUCGUAGAAAGGAUUUCAUAACCAAUCACAACAGAGGUCACCUGGUCCGCCCGGGAAUCGAACCCGGGAUGUCCAAUUCAGAGUCCAAUGCUCUACCGAUUGAGCUGACCGGGCGGACAUAUUAGCUACAUUAGAUGACAAGCCAUCUAUGCUGGACAUUCUUCACAAUAAAAUGUGAUGUCACAGGAGCUGUCUAUCUCAACAGCUCACACUGUCCGUAUUUGACUAAAGGAAUGAAUGAAGUCACUGCAGAAGUUAGAUUGAGGAAUGUCCAUGUCACUACCCAUCAUUUGGAAGGAGUUGGAUAAAAAAAGUGUGGCCUAUGUAUUGAAACAGGUCCGAUUUCCAGUUACGGACAGUCUUGAUUUGUCUGAUUACAUUUUUGACCAACAUAAUGGUCUAAAAGAACACUUACUGGUAACUGGUAAAAUCAUGGCCCAGUUGUUCCAAGAGGCAGGCGAGUGGGAAGUUACUAGACUCCAUUUCUUUAUGGGUUGAUCUGAGGUUCCAGUUCAGUUAAAGUACUGAUAGAACACCAAGUGUUUGCCAUAAUACAGCAACAUUUCAUUUGUAACUAUGUAUUUGUUUGAAUUGUUGAAACAGUACUGUUUACUAAAUAAUGUGUAUGUAUAUGAAGAAUAAUAUUAUAAAUAAUUUGUAAGAAC